rnacentral:tRNA from 1 species
AUUGAGAAAGACAUAAAGGUUAUGAUGCUGGCUUGAAACCAGUUUUAGGGGGUUCGAAUCCUUCCUUUCUUA